AAAAAAAGAAAGAAAGAAAGAAAAGAAAAGAAAAAGAAAAGAAAACAGUGCCAAAAAAGACUUGCUUUAUGCUGCGGUGAAUAUUUGAUGACCGGUGUCCGGAAGUGAUGAGGAUUUCAUGCUCUUCAGUGAGUGAAGCUUCCUUUCCUAUCUACCUUGUUUGCGGCUGCAACGCCCUGACAGCACCUGGUCCAGAGGGGAAUCGUGAGUCUUUAUGCUGGAGUAGGACUUGACCUCUGACAUCUCUAAUGUGAUGCAAAAGACUAACAGAUUCUUGGCACUGGAGGAGAGUUCGACACGGAUCACAGUCGGACCAGGGCCCGAAGUCUCCCAGCUGACAGUUUAUUUGACAGGACUGUUCAUUGCAAGAUCGACUCUCAUAUUUUGUACAAAGCCGGUCACAAUUGUUUU